CAGGCUUAUGAGGAAACCUGCACUGCAUGGAGCUAUGAGAAGUGGGAUGUGCACAGCUAGCAGAUAGCUGAAACUGUGAUGUAUCUAGAUGGGUUCAGCAAGGUCAAGUCAAAGAUUAUUGGUUCAAUGAGCUCAUCAAGACCCUCUUCAUAGCGCUAAACGUCAUUGAAAUGCCCAAGGAUGUUGAGCAGAAGUUUGGACGGACUUUUGUUGAGUCAUACACGUUUAGUCCUGUAAGUUUGGACGGACGGUUUUUGAAUUCCCCUUCAAUGGCCGCCUCCAUCCCUUCUAUUGAGCUCCAUAGGGAGCCGCUGGCAUACCGCAAGUUCUAUGGAGAGCUGCAUGCGUCCGUUGAGGUUCUUGUUGAGACGCUGGAGUCCGGCGAUGUUCAUGGGGUGUAGCAGGGUGGCAGCUAGGUUCUCAGGUCACCACCGAAGAGCUGGAACAAGGUGAUGGAUGGGCGAGCCGCCGGUGGAGCCUUGUUCUUGGAGCGGUGGUGGUAGGGGAGGCCCGAAGCGGGUGUUUGUGGAAGUGAUAUGCCCUGAUGCAUCAGCAUUAUAAUGGAGAAGUGUGGC